GAGGUAACAAUUCAUUUACAUAUCCACCUAAUGUUAGCAAGGAAAUUGAAUUAUUGAACAAAUCUUUGAAAGAAAAGAAAUUUUGGUUUGGUGAGUUUUGGAAAAGCAAGUUUAUAGGGAAAAACAUAGAAUGAAGCAACCUUUCUAAGAGUAUUGAUAGUAUUUUAGAAUUAGGAAGAGGGCAGAGGAUACUCGGGCCUGCCUAUUCUUUUUAUCAAUGAUAGGAUUAAGGAGUGAAGUGAAUGCUGGUUAUUGUGACAUAGGCCCUUUAGGUGACUGAGGUACUUGCUAAUAAGGACUAAAGAGGAACCUGGAAUAGCACAGGCAGAUUCCUUCUACUUGGUAUGUUUCUUUCAUGAAAGUCAACUGGACUAGAUAAAUGGCUUUAUGUUUUGGCUACUUAGUUGGAGAAGUAUAUAGCAUUGUAAGCCUAGACCCAGGAAGAGUCAAGUUCAAAUCCUAUCUUAGAAACCAAAGUCACUUUGCCUCUUUCCCUCAUCUUUAAAAUGAGGACAAAACCUACUUGCUUGGGUUAUUCUGAGAAUCACAUGAGAAUAUGUUGCACUUAGCACAGUACCUGGCACACAGUAAAUGCUACACAAACAUUAUUAUUUAUUAAAUUCCAAACUAUAACAAGAAAACUUUAAAGCUGAAAUUUAUAAAAACAAACAAGUAUUGCAUAAUUAACUCAGAAGAGUAAGGGCUAUCUAUGGCUUAACUGGUGUCAUUUUGCCAAAAAAGCAAAAGUUAAGUUGUGUUAAGAAAAAGUAAGAAUAUUAGUUGUCAUAGCAAGGUUUUAGAAACAAUUCUACAGAAGUAUACAGAAUUCAUAGGAAAAAAUGCUAUUCCCUGUCCUUAAAACAAAAAAUCUGAUUUGCCUAUUAAUCCUGAAAGCAGAUUUAUGAUGGGGAAAAAAAAUUCAAAUUUCCUAUAUAUUUAAAUUUGAAAUUCUGGUAUAGUUGAGUAAAAAGGUCAAAAAGCAUUUUUGUCAGGAGAAUUAUUCUAUUGUCCCAUUCACAUUUUUCAGAGAGACUGUUUUCACAAACUUUGUGUUCUAAACAGGUAAACGUUUUUGUGGAAAUGGCUUCAAUGACAAAGCAUCAUGAGGAAGGAUAAUUAUAGCAGGAAAAUUUCUGUCCUCAACAGAAGGCAUAAAUUCCAUCAGUACAAAUUGCUUUUUUUAGUUCCCAUGAAAAAAAUAUUUUAAUUCCUAAAACUUGUCUUUUGUUUUGAAGGUUAAAAAUCAAUUUCCUUUUAAAUUUCUAACAUAUAAAUGGUGCCAAAAGAAAGGCUGUGGCCCAGCUCAUUCAUUUAACUGUUAAACUAAUUUUUGGAAUUACUCAACUUCCUGCAUCAAUGUAUCUUAGAUGUCUUCAAUCCAGUUAUAAAUUGUACUAUUUGAUUAUUGAAUCUAUUCUAGCAGGCCACCUUAACGUCACUUAAAUAAUGUCCAACUUCAUCGGACAUCUCAGGAUAUCACUUAUGAUUUCUUCUGCAAGCUUCAGAACAAUAAAGUUGGCUCUUUGGGGGAAUAAAUCCAUGGUCAUGAAGUUUAAUCUUUUCCAAACUGGGCUAGUUUUCUUUUAAAUGAGCAUCAAUUAUUAGAAUGUUCAGAAUAAACGUUUUGAAAUUGAUGGCUCAACAAUUGUGUGUGGUGUCUACAUCUAUGUUUAUGUACACAUAUGCAUACAAUCCACAUGUGUAUGUAUAUACAUGUGGUUUAUAUAAAUCAUAGUCCUCCAGGAGAUCAUUAUAUACUUCAACAACAAUAUUAUAUGAUGACCAGUUCUGAUGGACCUGGCCAUCCUCAGCAACAAGAUCAACCAAAUCAUUUCCAAUGGAGCAGUAAUGAACUGAACCAGCUACGCCCAAAGAAAGAACUCUGGGAGAUGACUAAAAACCAUUACAUUGAAUUCCCAAUCCCUAUAUUUAUGCCCACCUGCAUUUUUGAUUUCCUUCACAAGCUAAUUGUACAAUAUUUCAGAGUCUGAUUCUUUUUGUACAGCAAAAUAACGUUUUGGUCAUGUAUACUUAUUGUGUAUCUAGUUUAUAUUUUAAAAUAUUAAACAUCUACUGGUCAUCCUGCCAUCUGGGGAGGGGAUGGGGGGUAAGAGGUGAAAAAUUGGAACAAGAGGUUUGGCAAUUGUUAAUGCUGUAAAGUUACCCAUGCAUAUAAUACCUGUAAAUAAAAGGCUAUUAAAGAAAAAAAAAAGAAAAGAAAAAGAACAAACCUUCAAUAAAUUCACAAACCCUUCUACCAAAAAAAAUAAAUAAAUCAUAGUCCUCACUUUUUUAGAAUUAAGCAAAACGUUCCCGUUUAAAAGUUCUAUAUGCAAUAUAUUUAAUAUAUAUAGAUUGAUCUAUCUAAUUCAGCAAAAAACCCACAUCUAGUAUUAGGCCGAAAAGCUAUUAAUCACAGGCAGGGCCCCAUCUUACCCCUAAAUUAAUGCAGUAGCUUGCUGGUGGGUCUGCCUGCCUCUAGUUUCUCCCCACUCUAAUUCAUUCUCUCCACUCAGCCAUUAAAGUGAUCUUCCUUAAGUCCAUGUCUGAUAUUGCCACCUCUUGAAUAAAGUCCAGUGACACUAUCGCCUCCAUGAUCAAAAAGGAAAUACUGAUUUGACAUUCUAAGCCCUUCACAACCUAGUUGCGUCCUUUUCUUUCUUCUUCCAACAUUUAUUCUUGGAUCUAAUGACAUUGUCUUGCAAACAGACUCCAUUUUCUCUAUUGUAAAAUAAUUUGUAAGUGUUAAUCCUCUAAAUCUUUC
ensembl:lncRNA